GAACGCAUCUUGCGCUCCUUGGUAUUCUGAGGAGCAUGCCUGUUUGAGUGUCAUUAAAUUCUCAACCACACUGACUUUGAUCGGUGUGGCUUGGAUUUGGGGGGGAAACUGUUGUGGGCUCUUUUUUGUCGUCUGCUCCCCUGAAAUUUAUUAGCAAGUACCUUGGUGGAACUGUCUACAGGUGUGAUAAUUAUCUACAUCCUGGACAUCUGCUUGAUGCUGCUUUCUAAACCUCAUAUGUAUUGACCAUCUUGACCUCAAAUCAGGUAGGACUACCCGCUGAACUUAAG
rnacentral:misc_RNA from 1 species